rnacentral:piRNA from 1 species
UAGUCUUAAUAAUCGCUCUGUGCCUGAAGAC